CUAUUUUUUUGACUAUGCAGAUGGCAAGGACACAGAAGAACAAAGCCACUGCUCACCAUCUUGGUCUUCUGAAGGCUAAACUUGCAAAAUUGUGGCGGGAGUUGCUCACUCCAACAUCCAAAGGUGGUGGUGGUGCAGGUGAAGGAUUUGAUGUGACGAAGAGUGGAGAUGCACGUGUUGGUUUAGUUGGCUUUCCUUCGAUUGGGAAAUCAACAUUGUUGAACAAGCUGACAGGGACAUUUUCAGAGGUUGCUGCCUACGAGUUUACAACUUUAAUCAUGUAUAAGGGUGCUAAAAUCUAGGUGACAUGAGCUUUUAUGUUCUCAGUACCAGCACAUGCUAUGACAUUGAGAAGCAUCACGUCGUAGCCUUGCUGCAUUGAGAAGCAGUGAUCUUUGUUCUUAUUUGGAAAUGGUUAUACAUGACAGGACAUUGAGAGUGAUGACGAGGACCUUGAUUUUGAGGUUGAUGAUGGAGCUGAGGAUGAACCUAAAGCAUGAUGCGGAAGAUGCCCCAGCCGAACCUGCUAUCAAGACAGUUGUGGCCCUGGCUGCGCCACCUAAAGAUACAGAAAGACAGUUGUCUAAAAAGGAGAUGAAAAAUAAGGAACUAGCAGAACUUGAUGUAGUAUUGGCUGAGCUCGGACUUUCUGGGAUUUGAGCAUCGCUGCACAGGAUGCUGAGAAUAAAGGUGCCAACCAGACUGGUGACACGGUCGCUACCUCCUCUUGGCCGCUGGACGUCUCUCCUUCCUAGCCUUCGCCUGUCCCUCCUCCCCUGCCCGCUACCCCCGUAGACAGGCACGUUGCUACCUCCUCCACGCCCUAGGAGAAGCCGCAGGGCCCGCCACCCCUCACCAUGUUCGGCGUCGACGGCCAGGAGGUGGAGCCAUGAAUGAUCUAUCCUAGGUAUACCUCCAGCUUCCCUUACCAUCUCCUUGGCCUCUUCCUCCCCCCUUGGCCUUCUCCUUCUGAUGAAUCAUUUUACCUAGAGUUGUCACUGCUUGCUAAUCGUUGCUCCAACCGUUGAGUUUACGCGGUGGAUUUCUUUUCCUAGCAUCAACACAUGUAAAACAGGGGAGAUUUAGAUCCAACACAUCAGCGAAGUGGCGCCCUUGCUGGCACAAUAAUACGUCCAGGUCUCGUAGAACACCUAACACUGGUAAGUACUCCUAAUAUGCAAGUGGUUAUGCUGAUGUUGAUGAAUCGAUUGGUAUUUUGAGACUUGUAUUAUGUCUCCUUUGAGGAGGUUUUAUUUUCACCAGGUACACUACAUUAUUUGAUGAUCGUAUUAUGGUUAUUUGAUCACUGUAUUUUAUUAUUUGAUCGCUGUAUUAUCUGGACAAAUUACGAAUAUGCCUACUACUGUAUCAUAAUUACUUGUUGCCUACUCUAUCGACCUUUGCAAAGAUUGCUACUGUUUUGUUGUCUAAACCACUUGCUAUCAAUAUUUCUUAAAGUGUUGUGUAUCUAAUCGUCCUCUAAUAAGCACAUCAGUUAAGUUCAAGUUAACACAAUUACACUCCCAUACAUGUAUACAAUGAUGAUGACCUGUUGUACAUUCUGAUUGCUUGGGUAUUCAUUCUCUGGUGCUCAUAGUCUAAUGGAUGGUAUGAUCACCGCUUAGUAUGUUCUGUUCUGUUUUUGAACUGAAUUAUCUCAACCUUUUAUCUAGGAUUGUGUAGUGGUCUAGGGAUUGCGUAUUAGGAUAUUGAGGAUGGGAUUUUCACAAAUUGCUACAGUCCAAUUAUUUUCUUCCCUUCUACCCUGCUACACGUCAGAUCAUAUGUUAUAAUGGUGUUU